rnacentral:rRNA from 1 species
GUGGCGAAAGGGUGAGUAACACGUGAGCAACCUGCCCCCGAGUCUGGAAUAAGCGAUGGAAACGUCGUCUAAUACCGGAUGAGGACUGGGGUCUCCUGACUCCAACUCCAAAGAUUUAUCGCUUGGGGAUGGGCUCGCGUCCCAUUAGCUAGUUGGCGGGGUAAUGGCCCACCAAGGCUGUGACGGGUAGGUGGACUGAGAGGUUGGUCACCCACACUGGGACUGAGACACUGCCCAGACUCCUACGGGAGGCUGCAGUCGAGAAUCUUCCGCAAUGGGCGCAAGCCUGACGGAGCGAUGCCGCGUGAGGGAAGAAGGCCUUCGGGUUGUAAACCUCUGUCACCCGGGACGAAAACAAUGACGGUACCGGGAGAGGAAGUCACGGCUAACUACGUGCCAGCAGCCGCGGUAAUACGUAGGCGGCGAGCGUUAUUCGGAUUCACUGGGCGUAAAGGGUCCGCAGGGGGCCUGCCAAGUCUGUCGUGAAAUCCCGGG